CAUGGCUGUCGUCAGCUCGUGUCGUGAGAUGUUGGGUUAAGUCCGCAACGAGCGCAACCCUUGUCCUUUGUUACCCUUAUUACAAGAUAAGGGGUUUCUAAGGAGACUGNCGGUCUUAAACCGGAGGAAGGUGAGGAUGACGUCAAGUCAGCAUGCCCCUUACGUUUUGGGCGACACACGUGCUACAAUGGGUAGAGGACGAAAAGAAGCUAACCUGCGAAGGUACGCAAAUCUUAUAAACCUACUCUCAGUUCGGAUUGAAGGCUGCAACUCGCCUCCAUGAAGUCGGAAUCGCUAGUAAUCGCUGGUCAGCCAUACA
rnacentral:rRNA from 1 species